rnacentral:rRNA from 1 species
GCCCAAUAGCUAGCCUGAGCACAACCAUAACUAUAAAUUGUAGAUAAAAACCCCUCCUCUAUUAAUACUAAAACAUUUUACCACCCAAGUAUAGGUGAUAGAAAAGGUCCCCAGAGCUAUAGAGAAAGUACCGUAAGGGAAGGCUGAAAAAGAAAUGAAACAACCCAUUAAAGCAAGUAAAAGCAGAGACUAGCCCUCGUACCUUUUGCAUCAUGGUCUAGCGAGAAUUAAACCAAGCGAAGAGAACUUUAGUUUGACCCCCCGAAACCAGGGGAGCUACCCCGGAGCAGCCCAAAGGGGCAAACCCGUCUCUGUGGCAAAAGAGUGGAGAGACUCCCGAGUAGAGGUGAUAAGCCUACCGAACCUGGUGAUAGCUGGUUGCUCAGGAAAUGAAUAUAAGUUCAGCGCUAUGCGAUUCUAGUUUUAACAACAAAAGAGUAAGCAAAACAUAGCAGUUAGUCAAAAGAGGUACAGCUCUUUUGAAAAAGGACACAACCUUUGCGGGAUGGUCAAGGAUCAAAAACUCAAGGCACCUUCCCCAGUGGGCCUAAAAGCAGCCACCUGUAAAGAUAGCGUUAAAGCUCAAGCAAAGCCGAGCCAGCAAUACAAAUAAAAUAAACCUAAUCCCCCCCCAAGUACUGAGCCCCUCCAUAUUUAAACAUGGAAAGGAUAAUGCUAAAAUUAGUAAUAAGAGAGAUACACCCCUCUCCCCGCACAAUCGUGAGUCAGACAGGAUUAACCACCGACAACUAACGGACCCAUGAUGAGGGCAUAGCAAAAGAAUAUAAAGCGAACAAGAAAACCAUGUCCAAACCACCGUCAACCCGACACAGGAGUGCGCCCGGGAAAGACUAAAAGGAAGAGAAGGAACUCGGCAAAACUAAACCCCGCCUGUUUACCAAAAACAUCGCCUCUUGCCAACAAUGAAGUAUUAGAGGUCCCGCCUGCCCUGUGACAGCAAUGUUUAACGGCCGCGGUAUUCUAACCGCGCGAAGGUAGCGUAAUCACUUGUCUUUUAAAUGGAGACCUGUAUGAAUGGCAUAACGAGGGUUUAACUGUCUCCUCUCCCUGGUCAAUGAAAUUGAUCUGCCCGUGCAGAAGCGGGCAUAAUAACAUAAGACGAGAAGACCCUAUGGAGCUUUAGGCAAAUGGUCAAGCACAACAAACCCUUGCUCUUAGUAAGCCUGGGGAAACAAACACUAAUGAUCAACAUGCCUUCGGUUGGGGCGACCAUGGAGAAAAAACGAGCCUCCAAGUAGAACGGGAAAACCCUUCAACUAAGAAGAACAACUCUAAGUACCAGAAAUUCUGACUAAGUAUGACCCAGGAUAAACCUGAUCAACGAACCGAGUUACCCUAGGGAUAACAGCGCGAUCCCCUCCCAGAGUCCAUAUCGACGAGGGGGUUUACGACCUCGAUGUUGGAUCAGGACAUCCUAAUGGUGCAGCCGCUAUUAAGGGUUCGUUUGUUCAACGAUUAACAGUCCUACGUGAUCUGAGUUCAGACCGGAGCAAUCCAGGUCGGUUUCUAUCUAUGACCUAACUUACCCCUAGUACGAAAGGACCGGGGUAAGGGGGCCUACGAAAAGGCAAGCCCCAUCCCAACUCACUGAAGCCAUAUAAAGUGGAUAAUGGGAAAGACACAACUGCCGAAGAUAACGGCAC